CCCUGUUAUUAAUGCAGGGGCCAAGAAGGUCAUGAUCGUGGAUGUAACCAUCCCCUUUGAGAACCGGUGCCAAGCCUUCACUGAUGCGCGGGCUCGCAAAUGGGAGAAGUAUGCCCUGCUGGCCGACAUCCUGAGGGGCUGUGGCUAUGACGUGAUGGUCAAUGCACUCAUCGUGGGAACACUCGGAGCCUGGGACCCCAGGAACGAGAGCGUCCUGAGUGCCUGCUGCAUCUCCCGCUGCUACGCCAAGUUGAUGUACUGCCUCAUGGUAUCUGACACCAUCUGUUGGCCCCACAACAUCUACGUGGAACACAUCAUGGGCCACUG